UGACAUCAUAAAGAGCUACUGGUCCUGUAUGCUGUAAAAGGUGCUGAAAAUUUAAACCCUCUAGUUUGGUGAAAGAGGUAACACCUUGUAGUGAUUUUAACUAUUUACCAACAUAUCAAUCUAAGAGCAGCUCACAGCACAAACUGAUUUUUUUUUUAGAGGGUUUUCAUCAAACACAGGACAAAGGAGUAGUACUUACAUCACUCUGUCUUAAUUCUAUUAAAAAAGAAUUAAGUUGUUUGAUUGAAAAUUAUUUUCAAAACUAUUAUGACCAUACUGCAAAUGGUCAUUUUUACGCUUUGGUACAAAUCCUUUUCAAUCACUGUCUGCAAUCUAGGAGCCAGAGACUGACCAGAGUCUGGAGUUGGUCUCUGGUAUUCUAUUCUGCCUGGCUUCCACCUUUGCCUUCAGCAAAUUAAAUGCAUGUUCAACUGAAGUCAGAAAAACAUUCCACUG